rnacentral:rRNA from 1 species
CACGUAGGGCGCAAGCGUUGUCCGGAAUUAUUGGGCGUAAAGAGCUCGUAGGCGGUCUGUUGCGUCCGCUGUGAAAACUCGGGGCUUAACCCCGAGCCUGCAGUGGAUACGGGCAGACUAGAGGUAGGUAGGGGAGAAUGGAAUUCCCGGUGUAGCGGUGAAAUGCGCAGAUAUCGGGAGGAACACCGGUGGCGAAGGCGGUUCUCUGGGCCUUACCUGACGCUGAGGAGCGAAGGCUAGGGGAGCGAACAGG